UACGAAGGGUGCAAGCGUUAUUCGGAAUUACUGGGCGUAAAGCGUGCGCAGGCGGUUUUGUAAGUCUGACGUGAAAUCCCCGGGCUCAACCUGGGAAUUGCGUUGGAGACUGCAAGGCUGGAGUCUGGCAGAGGGGGGUAGAAUUCCACGUGUAGCAGUGAAAUGCGUAGAGAUGUGGAGGAACACCGAUGGCGAAGGCAGCCCCCUGGGUCAAGACUGACGCUCAUGCACGAAAGCGUGGGGAGCAAACAGG
rnacentral:rRNA from 1 species